rnacentral:rRNA from 1 species
AGAACGAACGCUGGCGGCAUGCCUAACACAUGCAAGUCGAACGCUCUUGGGGCUUCGGUCUCAGGGGAGUGGCGCACGGGUGAGUAGCGCGUGGGAACCUGCCCUGUUGUGGGGGAUAACCGAGGGAAACUUCGGCUAAUACCGCAUAAGCCGGUUGUCUUGAAGGAGAUGGCCGGGAAAGAUUUAUCGCGACAGGAGGGGCCCGCGUCGGAUUAGCUAGUUGGUGGGGUAACGGCCCACCAAGGCGGUGAUCCGUAGCUGGUCUGAGAGGAUGAUCAGCCACACUGGGACUGAGACACGGCCCAGACUCCUACGGGAGGCAGCAGUGGGGAAUAUUGGACAAUGGGCGCAAGCCUGAUCCAGCAAUGCCGCGUGAGUGAUGAAGGCCUUAGGGUUGUAAAGCUCUUUCGCCCGCGACGAUGAUGACGGUAGCGGGAGAAGAGCCCCGGCUAACUUCGUGCCAGCAGCCGC